rnacentral:rRNA from 1 species
AACGUAGGUACCGAGCGUUAUCCGGAUUUACUGGGCGUAAAGCGCGUUCAGGCGGUUUGACAAGUCGGGCAUGAAAUCUCUCGGCUCAACCGGGAGAGGUUGUCCGAUACUGUCAGACUUGAGGGCAGUAGAGGGUGGUGGAAUUCCGGGUGUAGUGGUGAAAUGCGUAGAGAUCCGGAGGAACACCAGUGGCGAAAGCGGCCACCUGGACUGCACCUGACGCUCAAACGCGAAAGCUAGGGGAGCGAACGGG